CUCCUCACCUUCCAAUAGUUAUAACUCUUCUCCUCUUCUUUAAUGUCUCCCUUUUCACCUUCCAACAGCCCGACCUUCUCUCUAUUAAUUAUUGUAAUUAAUUAAUAAUUAAUUUUUUCUUCCCCCUCUAUCUCUAUUAAUCUCUUCCUCCUUCUACUUUUGCUAAACCUCUUUCACCCUCUCCCUCUCCUUUACAGUCGCUCGCUUUCAUCACUGUCACAUCGUGUCGAGUCCAUAGAAUC
rnacentral:lncRNA from 1 species